rnacentral:rRNA from 1 species
ACGUAGGGGGCGAGCGUUAUUCGGAAUUACUGGGUGUAAAGGGCAUGUAGGCGGCCCUUCAAGUCGCGUGUCAAAGUCCAGUGCUCAACGCUGGGCGUGCGCUUGAUACUGUCGAGCUUGAGUGCUGGAGAGGUGAGCGGAAUUCCCGGUGUAGUGGUAAAAUACGUAGAGAUCGGGAGGAACACCAGCGGCGAAGGCGGCUUACUAGACAGUUUCUGACGCUAAGAUACGAGAGCGUGGGGAGCAAACAG